CAUGGGGCUUGCUUACCAUGCAGUCGAACGAAGUCUUCSGACUUAGWGGSGGACGGGUGAGUAACGCGUGAGAAUCUGCCCUUUGGAGGGGGAUAACAGUUGGAAACGACUGCUAAUACCCCMUAUGCCGAGAGGKGAAAUGUUUUUCGCCAAAGGAUGAKCUCGCGUCUGAUUAKCUAGUUGGAGUGGUAACGGCRCACCAAGGCGACGAUCAKUAGCUGGUCUGAGAGGAUGAUCAGCCACACUGGGACUGAKACACGGCCCASACUCCUACGGGAGGCAGCAGUGGGGAAUUUUYYKCAAUGGGSGAAAGCCUGACGGAGCAAGACCGCGUGAGGGAGGAAGGCCUACUGGUUGUAAACCUCUUUUGAUAGGGAAGAAAACAAUGACGGUACCUAUCGAAUCAGCCUCGGCUAACUCCGUGCCAGCAGCCGCGGUAAUACGGAGGAGGCAAGCGUUAUCCGGAAUUAUUGGGCGUAAAGCGUCCGUAGGUGGCGAACCAAGUCAGUUGUUAAAGCGUGGAGCUUAACUCCAUAUCAGCAAUUGAAACUGGUUGGCUAGAGUGSGAUARGGGCAAGGGGAAUUCCCMGUGUAGCGGUGAAAUGCGUAGAUAUUGGGAAGAACAUCSGUGGSGAAAGCGCCYUGCUGGGUCUGCRCUGACACUGAGGGACGAAAGCUMUGGGAGCGAAAGGGAUUAUAUACCCCUGUGGRCCUCYMCSCAAAMAAUGGAUAYUAWAAGGUGUUGGUAUUUCCCCCGSCGCGGGCAAAAAAAAAAAAAAA
rnacentral:rRNA from 1 species